AAAAUGAAAAGUCCAAUAAGAUCAACGAAAGUACCUCCGUCCCUUGGACUAUAAACAAGAUGGGAAUGUUGGAAGAGAAAAGUCAUUUGGACUAUAAAAAAUAAAAGUCCAAUAAGAUCAACAAAAGUACCUCAGUCCCUUGGACUAUAAACAAAAUGGGAAUGUUGGAAGAGAAAAGUCAUUUGGACUAUAAAAAAGAAAAGUCCAAUAAGAUCAACGAAAGUACCUCCGUCCUUUGGACUAUAAAUAAGAUGGGAAUGUUGGAAGAGAAAAGACUCUUAAGAUCAACAAACGUUAUUUAAGAUCAUCUAAAGUCUCUUAGUCCCUUGGACUAUAAACAAUAUGAGAAUGUUGGAAGAGAAAGUCCUUUGGACUAUAAACAAGAAAAGUCCCUUAAGAUCAACAAAAGUCUCUCAGUCUCUUGCACUAUAAACGAGGUGAGAAUGUUGGAAGAGAAAAGUCCCUUAAGAUGAACAAAAGUUCUUUUAGAUCAACGAAAGUCCCUUAAUCCCUUGGACUAUAAAGAAGAUGAGAAUGUUAGAAAAGAAAAAUCGUUUGGAGUAUAAACAAGAAAAAUCUUUUAAGAUCAA
rnacentral:lncRNA from 1 species